rnacentral:misc_RNA from 1 species
UCCGUGAUAAAGUAGCAUAAUCACUCGUCAUUUAAUUGGUGACUGGAAUGAAUGGUCAAACGAAUCUUCGACUGUCUCAAAAAGAAAUUAUUUAAAUUUGGAAUAGUAGUGAAGAUGCUACUAAAUGAUUAUAAGACGAAAAGACCCUAUCGAGCUUUACUAAAGACUUACAUUUUUCCUAUUGAAAAAAGAAUUUACAUAUAUUUACAUGUAAGUUUGUUAGUUUGGUUGGGGCGACCACCUCUAAAAAAGUAUCAGAGGAAUUCUAAAGGUUAAUUAACAAUAUAUGCUGCCUUACUGGAAUACCAACACGUUAACCAGUUACUUAAGAGUAGGAUAUAGUGACCCGUUAAGCGAGCAUUAAAGUU